AACUGGACAAAACUUGCAGUAACACAGAGUAACAGCCCAGAUUACUGAGACUAUUAACACAGAUCUGAUCUGACUCGACCUUACUUAACAUGAUCCAAUGCAUGCUACUGGUUUUCAUUAUAACAUCAGGUGUGAUGGCCAUAGACAAAAUUGAACCAAAUACAGACACCACAUUCACAAAAACUGAGGAAGAGGCUGUAAGGCUGAGCUGCUCAUAUGAUUCAAACAGUGACAAUGUCCAGCUGUACUGGUACAGACAAUUUCUCAACGGAGAACUUCAAUAUAUAUUACGUGAAGGUGCUCGAUCAAACAGUGCUAAGGACACCUCUGAUCCUCGAUUUCAGUCAGGUACAUCCACUGAACUCAUUAUUGACAGUGUAACUCUGUCAGAUUCAGCUUUAUAUUACUGUGCUCUAGGAGUUGAAGCCCAGUGAUACAAAAUAUAAAACACUCAUACAAAA